GCCUAGUUAGCUUAGUUGGUAGUGCGUCUGCCUUGUAAGCGCUAGGCCGCGGGUUCGAUUCCCGCCCGGGGAA
rfam:Asian citrus Psyllid, Diaphorina citri - Florida Strain, whole genome shotgun sequence.